rnacentral:lncRNA from 1 species
CGGGUCAACGGCACUGAGGCCCUCAGGCAUGAGGGAGGCCGGGCGGUUCUCGAUGACCUCGUCUAUAAGCCCCCAUUCGCGCGCUUCCUCGGGGUCCAUGAAAAGGUCACGCUCCAUGCACUGCUCGAUCUUGUCGAUGUUCUGGCCCGUGUGCUUGGCGUAGAUCUUGUUGAGGCGGUCGCGCAGCUUGAGGAUCUCCUUGGCCUGGAUGGCGAUGUCGGUGGCCUGUCCCUGCGCCCCGCCGGAGGGCUGGUGGAUCAUGACCCUGGCGUUGGGCAGCGCCCGCCUCUCCCCGCGCGCGCCGGCGGCGAGCAGGAGCGACCCCAUGGAGGCGGCCUGGCCGAUGCAGAUGGUGUUGACGGGGCAGCGGAUGUACUGCAUGGUGUCGUAGAUGGCGAGCCCCGCGGUGACGACGCCCCCGGGGGAGUUGAUGUAGAGGCUGAUGGGCUUAAGCGGGUUCUCGGACUCGAGGAAGAGCAGCUGCGCGACGACGAGGGACGCCGUCUCGUCGGCGAUGGGCCCGUGG